CCCUUAGACGUUCUGGGCCGCACGCGCGCUACACUGACCAGUGCAACAAGCAUCCGUCCUUGGCCGACAGGCUCGGGCAAUCUUUGAACGCUGGUCGUGAUGGGGAUAGACUUUUGCAAUUUUUGGUCUUCAACGAGGAAUCCCUAGUAAACGCAAGUCAUCAACUUGCAUUGAUUACGUCCCUGCCCUUUGUACACACCGCCCGUCGCACCUACCGAUUGAAUGGUCCGGUGAAGCCUCCGGAUUGGCGCGCACCUCGGUGCCGCCGAGAAGUUGGCUAAACCUUACCAUUUAGAGGAAGGUGAAGUCGUAACA
rnacentral:rRNA from 1 species